rnacentral:sRNA from 1 species
CGGGCCAGUAUUAAGCAUUACCCCGUGGUGGGGUUCCCGAGCGAUCAUAAGGGAGCUGACUGCAAAUCUGCCGUCAUCGACUUCAAGUUCGACUCGAGCAAUAGUGAGAGAACGUUGCCGCACGCAACGGCCCGAAAGGGUGAGGAGCUUUAGCUCCGAAUAAUCCUUCCCGCUAUAGAA